rnacentral:lncRNA from 1 species
AAGCCGCAGCUCUUUCUUUGGCUCCUUAGUUGAAACUUCCCAGGUUCUAAAUGAAAAGAAGCUAACUUUAUCAAUAAAAACCUGCCUGGACAAAAUUUGCCUGAGCAAAAAUUACUAUACAAGCUGAAUGAUGGUUCCUGCAAAAUUUGUCUGCAAGAGAAGAAUCCUAUAUGAUCAUUUUGGAGUCAUUUACAUAGAUUACUUUCCUUUUUCUAUUACGCAAAUUUUAGCACCUGCUUACCUCAGCCACCUCUGCCACACGCCUCGGCCGCCGCUGACUCUGGCAGCUUUGUCGCCAGAGUCCUCGAACUCUCGCUUCCUUUUUAAUCUG